rnacentral:rRNA from 1 species
CAGUAGCCGCGGGAAAACGGAGGGAGCUAGCGUUGUUCGGAAUUACUGGGCGUAAAGCGCGCGUAGGCGGUUACUCAAGUCAGAGGUGAAAGCCCGGGGCUCAACCCCGGAACUGCCUUUGAAACUAGGUGACUAGAAUCUUGGAGAGGUCAGUGGAAUUCCGAGUGUAGAGGUGAAAUUCGUAGAUAUUCGGAAGAACACCAGUGGCGAAGGCGACUGACUGGACAAGUAUUGACGCUGGGGUGCGAAAGCGUGGGGAGCAAACAGGAUUAGAUACCCCCGUAGUCCCUGUCUCUUAUAC